rnacentral:tRNA from 1 species
CCGUAUAGUCAAGUGGUUAAGACAUUGGCUUUUCAUGCCAAGGUCGUGGGUUCAAUUCCCGCUACGG